GGCAGGCGGAUCACCUGACAUCAGGAGUUUGAGACCAGCCUGGCCAACAUGGUGAAACCCCUUAUCUACUAAAAAUACAAAAAUUAGCCGGGCGUGGUGGCGGGUGUAAUCCCAGCUACUUGGGAGGCUGAGGCAGGAGAAUCGCUUGAACCUGGGAGGCGGAGGUUGCAGUGAGUGGAGAUGGCACCACUGCACUCCAGCCUGGGCCACAGAGCGAGACUCCAUCUCAAAAAAAAAAAAAAAAAAAAAAGUGAAGUCUUUACAUAAAUGGAUUACGUGUGCUGCCCUUUGAGAAGUUUGUUGAUGAAAGGAGAAAGGAAAUAGUAGCACCAGAGGAAAAGAUCAGGGAUUUACCCUGUUCUUACAGGAUAACAGCUCCUUGCUCUUUUCAGCUAGCUUUUCAAAGGACAGGGAUAGGACAGCCCCCUGCCUUAUUUCGGAUACUUGGAUCUAUAACCUCCAGAAAUUCAAGCUGAAGUAGCUGGAGGUCGGAGAGGAAUGAGAACUGCCUGGGUGGGGUCUGCCAGCCAGACACUGCCAGGAUAGCCACAAGGAGACGACUUGGAAGAACAGACAGCAACCACGUUGGACUCAGGCAGUCCUGGGUUUGAAUCCUGUCUCUGUCACCACCUAGCCUGAUGACCUUGGGCACAUCCUGAGCACCCUGUGCCUUAUCUGUAAAAUGGAAACAAUCAUGCCGACCUUUCAGGGUGGUUUUGAGGAUUAGAGACUAGCUCCUGACACACAGUAGGUAAUCGUAAAUGGGUGCUAUUGUUUGGCCCGACCCACGUUAUAGGACAGAACGUCUAACGGAUGCGUCAGAACCUGCGCCCUCCGGAUCUUGGAGGGUACAGAGGGCGCCCCUCGGCCUCCUCCCUUUCGGAGGUGGGGACAAGGUGGAGGAAGGGCUGCAGGAGGAGGAGCUCUAGCAUCGCGACCCGCCCCGUCCCGUCCAGUCUGGCCUGGGCGCCGCGGGAACGCUGUCCUGGCUGCCGCCACCCGAACAGCCUGUCCUGGUGCCCCGGCUCCCUGCCCCGCGCCCAGUCAUGACCCUGCGCCCCUCACUCCUCCCGCUCCAUCUGCUGCUGCUGCUGCUGCUCAGUGCGGCGGUGUGCCGGGCUGAGGCUGGGCUCGAAACCGAAAGUCCCGUCCGGACCCUCCAAGUGGAGACCCUGGUGAGGAGAUAGUCCCGACCCUCAGCCCCCGUGGGCCGAGCCUUGUUGGGUGGUAAUACUGGGGUCUCAGCGAACCUGGGAGCCGGGAGGAGAGGAAGUGCGGGAACUGAGUUGGGGGUGGUGCCGGGUCUAGGGGCGAGAACGGGAUCUUUGGAAGAGCAUCCGUGACCCCUGUAGUCCGAUCGUAGGUGGAGCCCCCAGAACCAUGUGCCGAGCCCGCUGCUUUUGGAGACACGCUUCACAUACACUACACGGUGAGGGGUCUGGGGGGCCGGGGCGGGGCCUGGGAGGGGGCGGCGCCCUGCUGAAACACGUCAGCUUUGGCUUGGACACGUGGCAAGCGGUUCGGGAGAAGAAACUCGGGGCUCUGGGGUCGUCGAGCACGUGGCGAGGGGAGAGACGUUGCUCUUCCGUGCCUCUUUUCCCUCCUUGCUUUUCUGCCAGUUCCUACCUGGCACGGAGAAGUGCAGGGUGGAGAGAUCUCCGAGAAGCGCCAGCCUUCUGGGGCUUCCUGUUCCUUACAGCGGUAAGGGGAACGCUAGGCUGCCGCACUAAGGGGGCUGCCGCCGCCCAGCGGUCCAGGUGUGUGUUGCGCGCCUGCUGGGAGGGAGAGGGUGCUAGAUGUAUGCUCUUGAUGCUCUCUCCCCCCAGGGAAGCUUGGUAGAUGGACGUAUUAUUGACACCUCCCUGACCAGAGACCCUCUGGUUAUAGAACUUGGCCAAAAGCAGGUGAUUCCAGGUAUGUGACCUGUGCCUCCCAUUCCACCUCUUCCCAACCUAAGCCCUUUCUUAGCCUCUUCGGCUCCAAAGCUGCCCUGGAAAUCCCCCCUGAAAUGAGUAAGACCCUAGGGCUCUACGAGUUACCUCCUGAGGUUCAAACCUCACUUCUAGUACUCCACUUGUCCCAUAUCCUAUUGGAAGCCAGAGAUUUAAGAAGUGAGGGAAAGGUCAAUUGAGGAUGGAGGAGGAAGACUUUGAUCUUCAUGUCAUGGGAUUUGGGGAAGGUGGAUAGCUUCCAGUUCAGUUGUGUCUUCUUCUUCAAGGUCUGGAGCAGAGUCUUCUCGACAUGUGUGUGGGGUGAGUAUCUCGGCAGGGGUGGGCCUGGGUACCCCCUUUGCAUGGGUAGAGGCUUUCUCGGCCAUCCUCACUCCUUAAGCAGGAGAAUGUGGAAUAAAGGACCCUGCUUCCCACUGGACAGGUCCAGGUCAGUGGGACCUCUGAGGGCAUUCAAAGCCUCUGUGCCUCUUGCGCUGUUGCUUUUGUCGGGGGAGUUGAGGCACAUGGGGAGAUGGACACCUUUGCUGGCCAGCCUGUUUGGUGUUCAGGUGGAAAAAUUCGUGUUUUGGGUGUGAAGAUUCAGGGGGUUUUGCUGAAGGAGCUUCAGCUGGACUGAGGCUGCUGGCCUACCUCUCCUGCCUCUGGCUGUGACUGACAUUCCUUCCCUCAGAGAGAAGCGAAGGGCAAUCAUUCCUUCUCACUUGGCCUAUGGAAAACGGGGAUUUCCACCAUCUGUCCCAGGUAAUCUGACUAGGACUCUCUCUCAGGCCAUCAAAAUACCCAGUCCCUAAGAGCUAUAAGGAGCUAUAUACUUUGUUUGAUGCUUGAGAAGAUCCAGACCAAGUUUGUUUAGACAGAUAGGAGUGGCUGGGGCCUCCAUCUACAGGGCCACCUUUUUCCUCCUCAUAUCACCAACAGGGACUAAAGACAACCUGAUGAGGCCACCUGGCAUGACCUCCAGCAGCCAGUAACUUGUUAGGGAAGAGACCUGCUUGGGCCACAUGGGUCUGCUGCCUGUGCCACCACCUUUCCCAGAACACUGGACUUCUUUCCUGCCCUUUUCUACAACUCUACGCUGUGUCAGCUGUACAGCCACCCCCCACCCCUUCCUUUCAGCCUCCAUCAGGGAAGAGACAGUAAAAAUAAUCACAGUCAAGUGAUUCAAAACAAAACAAAAAGCAACUGUUAAAGCCAAGUCUGCCCCAUAACUUUAAAAGCCAUCAUUGGUCACUGCCGAUGUCUAUUUUUGAAGGGUUGAGAUGGACAGAUUUCCCAAGAUGCAUAUCUUUUGCUUUCAGUUCUAACAAAUGUUCUAUUAGCUAAAAUGUGUUGUACUCCACAGAGUAUUGGGCUCGUAAUUCUUUUUUUUUUUUUGAGAUGGAGUUUCACUCUUGUUGCCCAGGCUGGAGUGCAAUAGUGCAAUCUUCACUCACCACAACCUCCGCCACCCGGGUUCAAGCAAUUCUCCUGUCUCAGCCUCCCGAGUAGCUGGGAUUACAGGCAUGCGCCACCACGACCGGCUAAUUUUAUACUUUUAGUAGAGAUGGGGCUUCUCCAUGUUGGCCAGGCUGGUCUCAAACUCCCAACCUCAGGUGAUCCGCCUGCCUUGGCUUCCCAAAGUGCGGGGAUUACAGGCAUGAGCCACCGCGCCUGGCUGGGCUCGUUAAUUCUUAUCCUAGUUCCAGCUUAGAGGAAGGCCUGGAAGGAGGGUAGGGGGACCAAGGAGAAACUUUUACCCAAAGCCCUAUUACCUCCCCAUUCCCAGUGCUGCUUAUUUGUACCUCUUCUGCCCACUCAUUUCUGUUCCACCUGCCCCUUUACUUCUUAAGCAGCAUCCUCAUCCUUCUUCCUCUUCAGCUCUUAUGUUGAAACUCCUGUUAUCUCAUAAUCACGUUGAAUGUGCUCAUUGGUUGGUUGAUUUUUUAAAGUCUAGUUUAAAUCCAUUUAAUUUCAGCCCUGCAAAGACUCUAUCCGUGUGGUUAUUUGGAAAUACGAUAAAUUAGUAGUUAGUAUAGAGGGUUCUCCCACUUACAAAUGGAGAAGAGCCUGUACAUUUCAUAUUCACAGAAAGUUUUCCUGCAUUCAAAGACUUGUCACUGGACCCAAGCCACAUGUGUAGUUGGGGUCAACAUGAUUAUCACUGGACUCUGCUCGUAAAUCCUCCUCUACUCUUGUCUAAAGGAAUUCAAGCCCACAUUUAAAUCUUGUCAGCUUCAUAGUUGUUGGCUUUGCUGUGGCCUACGCUCCCUAUUUUCAUUCAGAUUCUGAGCCCUGGAUAAAAUGCAGAGAGUCUAACCCUCUCCACCCCUCUGCCUCUCCAGCGGAUGCAGUGGUGCAGUAUGACGUGGAGCUGAUUGCACUAAUCCGAGCCAACUACUGGCUAAAGCUGGUGAAGGGCAUUUUGCCUCUGGUAGGGAUGGCCAUGGUGCCAGCCCUCCUGGGCCUCAUUGGGUAUCACCUAUACAGAAAGGCCAAUAGACCCAAAGUCUCCAAAAAGAAGCUCAAGGAAGAGAAACGAAACAAGAGCAAAAAGAAAUAAUAAAUAAUAAAUUUUAAAAAACUUAUUUGCAUUCUUCAUCUGAUAUUUUCUGAGACUGCCUUUGAAAGUGGGAAUGAGGUAAAGGGCUGAGGAAAAAAGCAUUGUGAAUUGCAUCUUGCCUGGCAUGGGGGUGGUUGUAGGCCCUGGAUCACCUCUUCCCCUGGCCUCCUCUUGCUGUCCUAACUGACUUUAAGGACCUGGUCUUGAGUCUUCCCAUAGGAUCUCUAGGUCCUUAAGGUAUGGGUUUUGGCUCUCAUGGUGCCCUGAUUCUGAGGAGGGAUGCUUAAUUGAGCAGUGAGCCUCCUGGUAGUUGCCUAGCUGUUCUCUCUGUUCCCUGGGACCACAGUGUUCCUAGUGUCCUCAAAGAGAACUGCUCUGUCCAAUAUGGAAAAGAUAUAAAGAGCUCAUAAACUCCAUGGAAAUUUUUAAUAGCAACAUCCCUACAUUUCUCAAAAAAAAAAAAAAA
rnacentral:lncRNA from 1 species